rnacentral:rRNA from 1 species
UACGAGGGGGUCCUAGCGUUGUUCGGAAUUAUUGGGCGUAAAGAGUAUGUAGGCGGCCUUACAAGUCAGUUGUGAAAGCCCCGGGCUCAACCUGGGAAGUGCUUCUGAUACUGUUUGGCUUGAAUACUGGAGAGGAUAGUAGAAUUCCAGGUGUAGUGGUGAAAUACGUAGAUAUCUGGAGGAAUACCGGUGGCGAAGGCGGCUAUCUGGCCAUGUAUUGACGCUGAGAUACGAAAGCGUGGGGAGCAAACAGG